UCUUGUAAGGUGAUGGAAAACACAGCGGUCCUGAGCCACAUGGCUGCGGCUUUGGUGGCUUCAGGUCUCUGGAGUAAGGUGCAACCCUGGGAGGAAACCGUGUCAACACAGCUCCAGUCAGGUGUGAUAAUGAGCAUGGCUAUGUAAUGGAGCAGGCAAAAAGAAUUUCACCAAGAGCUGUGUGUGCACUUUAAGAGAUCUCUCAUUGUGGGUGUGUUAUAGCCUCCUUUGCUUACAUAAAAGGAAGAAUAAGAAUUGAGAUGGGAAGAGAAGAGGGUGUGAUACAAGCACAAGCCAGGAAGGCAGCAUGUACACCAAGACAGACUGCUACAGCUUUUCAUAGUAAACAAACACCUAUGCCAGCAAGUGCUUGAGGUGACUAGUAUUUCCAUCUUCUUAACAUUUUGAGGAACAGCAGUACUGCUUUUGCUUCAUGUCCUGAACAAGAAGGCUGUUGCGUGAAGUCCAAAGAAGCAUGGAAGAAUCAUGAAAGAUUCAUACUUGUCAUGUUUUCACAAGGUGGAUUUAACUGAGGAAAAGACAUUCUGAAACCACAGAAGGGAAACGUGUGUUGCAUAUGCUAUCGGAUACACUCAGAUGGUGAGAGGAAUGUGUGACAUGCUGCUCUGUGCUUGAAAGCAGUGUUUUUCAUUCAUUCUUUGUGUUUAGCAAACUUGCCUUUCCACAGGAAGAAUUACUGUGAUUUCAACAAGUGUGGAGGUGGACCAAGUCAGACACCAGUCUGGCAGCCAGAGAGGAUGGUGGGCUCCUGGUGCUCCCUUGUACCCCACCAGUACCCCCUUCCCUCUUUGCUGCAGCUUGCCACAGCUGCUGCUUGCCAGGCACAAGGCUCUAGCUGUGAAGUAAUGCUGCUGGGUUUCCUCCAGGCCCUCUUCUUUGGGCAAGGUGGAAUAGGGAAAUUUAUGAAAGGCAUUUUUCAGCCCCUGUGCAGCUUCCUUCUUGCAGCUUUCUCUCAACCUGUGCCUAUUUUACAUAACAUUCAUUCUUGUGGCAUGUCUGAUUUAGCCUCUGGGCUAAGUGGAGUGCGUAAUAGUUCAAGCCAGUUGAAGAUUGUUCCUUCAUGCAAUAAAACUGUGUUUGCUUCAUUUGCCAUUAAUGAUAAGCAAGAAGUUCUGUAAAUCAAACAGCCUUUCUUUUACUCCCUGUUACAGAAUUAUUCAUAACAACGAUUUCAUUUGGCAUUCUAUUAAAAGAUUUUAAUUUCUCCAGAUGGAAGUCGAUUUCUAUUCUCUCUUUCCCAUUACUUAUAUUUAUGUUAAUAUUGUAAGGGCAGUUUGACAUGGGGUCUUUCAUUUAAAAUGUGUGAAAAAUAAGGAAACUGUGAACGAAAUGAUUUCUUACCAGUGCCAUUUUCUAGCUAUUAUGUUGCAGAAUGUGAAAACUCUGAAGAGCAUGAUGUAAUUUUGUUUUUGACUCUGCUUAUAAAAGAAGGGAUGGAAAUACAGAGCCAUCUUAUUUGCUGUCAUUGCAGAGGCAG